rnacentral:rRNA from 1 species
UACGUAGGGUCCGAGCGUUGUCCGGAAUUAUUGGGCGUAAAGAGCUCGUAGGCGGUCUGUCGCGUCGGCUGUGAAAACUUGGGGCUCAACUCCAAGCCUGCAGUCGAUACGGGCAGACUAGAGUUCGGUAGGGGAGACUGGAAUUCCUGGUGUAGCGGUGAAAUGCGCAGAUAUCAGGAGGAACACCGGUGGCGAAGGCGGGUCUCUGGGCCACUACUGACGCUGAGAAGCGAAAGCAUGGGGAGCGAACAGG